UACGUAGGGUGCAAGCGUUAAUCGGAAUUACUGGGCGUAAAGCGUGCGCAGGCGGUUAUGUAAGACAGAUGUGAAAUGCCCGGGCUUAACCUGGGAACUGCAUUUGUGACUGCAUGGCUAGAGUUUGGCAGAGGGGGGUAGAAUUCCACGUGUAGCAGUGAAAUGCGUAGAUAUGUGGAGGAACACCGAUGGCGAAGGCAGCCCCCUGGGCCGAUACUGACGCUCAUGCACGAAAGCGUGGGGAGCAAACGAGGAUUAGAGUACCC
rnacentral:rRNA from 1 species